rnacentral:rRNA from 1 species
UCGAACGGCAGCACGGAGCUUGCUCUGGUGGCGAGUGGCGAACGGGUGAGUAAUAUAUCGGAACGUACCCUAGAGUGGGGGAUAACGUAGCGAAAGUUACGCUAAUACCGCAUACGAUCUAAGGAUGAAAGUGGGGGAUCGCAAGACCUCAUGCUCGUGGAGCGGCCGAUAUCUGAUUAGCUAGUUGGUAGGGUAAAAGCCUACCAAGGCAUCGAUCAGUAGCUGGUCUGAGAGGACGACCAGCCACACUGGAACUGAGACACGGUCCAGACUCCUACGGGAGGCAGCAGUGGGGAAUUUUGGACAAUGGGCGAAAGCCUGAUCCAGCAAUGCCGCGUGAGUGAAGAAGGCCUUCGGGUUGUAAAGCUCUUUUGUCAGGGAAGAAACGGUGAAGGCUAAUAUCCUUUGCUAAUGACGGUACCUGAAGAAUAAGCACCGGCUAACUACGUGCCAGCAGCCGCGGUAAUACGUAGGGUGCAAGCGUUAAUCGGAAUUACUGGGCGUAAAGCGUGCGCAGGCGGUUUUGUAAGUCUGAUGUGAAAUCCCCGGGCUCAACCUGGGAAUUGCAUUGGAGACUGCAAGGCUAGAAUCUGGCAGAGGGGGGUAGAAUUCCACGUGUAGCAGUGAAAUGCGUAGAUAUGUGGAGGAACACCGAUGGCGAAGGCAGCCCCCUGGGUCAAGAUUGACGCUCAUGCACGAAAGCGUGGGGAGCAAACAGGAUUAGAUACCCUGGUAGUCCACGCCCUAAACGAUGUCUACUAGUUGUCGGGUCUUAAUUGACUUGGUAACGCANCUNACGCGUGAAGUANACCGCC